rnacentral:rRNA from 1 species
GUAGGGAAUAUUGCGCAAUGGGGGAAACCCUGACGCAGCGACGCCGCGUGAGUGAUGAAGGCCUUCGGGUCGUAAAGCUCUGUUGCAGGGGAAUAAAAAAAUGAAGGUACCCUGUGAGGAAGGAUCGGCUAACUUCGUGCCAGCAGCCGCGGUAAGACGAGGGAUCCUAGCGUUGCUCGGAAUCAUUGGGCGUAAAGAGGGCGUAGGUGGCUUGGUAAGUCAGGUAUGAAAGCCCAGGGCUCAACCCUGGAAGUGCAUUUGAUACUGCUGAGCUUGAGUGUCGGAGAGGUUACCGGAAUACCUGGUGUAGUGGUGAAAUACGUAGAUAUCAGGUGGAACACCGGAGGCGAAGGCGGGUAACUGGACGAACACUGACACUGAGGCCCGAAAGCGUGGGGAUCAAACAGGAUUAGAUACCCGAGUAGUCC